CGAAAUAUAUAUUUAUGGGGUUAUCUUAGUCUUGUACUUUAGCUUAGUUUACAUACUUUUUACGGUAAGUUUGUAUUUCCAUCUUGAAUUUAUAUUUUGUUGAUAUAUAUCCGUGUUAGCCCUUGUUUGAUCCCCAUUCUUUGGAGAAAAUAAAUUCUUCAACAGUGUUUUGACAUAAUUCUAACGACACAUUCUUUAAUAAAAUAAUAUUACACGUAAAUCCAAAACGUUUCAUUAUUUUUUAACCACAUAUUUUUCAUCAAUACACUAUUUAAAAAUUCAUUUUUCCCAUCAAAAUGGGGCUCAACCAAGGGCUUAAUAAACAGUCUUUAGUUGUGUGAGAUGAUUAAAAUAAAAUAAAACUAUUGACUAAGGAUCAGUUUAGCGGAAUUUUCGAAAAGUCAAAAGCUAUUUAUGAAACUAAGAAGCUGCUUUUGUGUUUGAUUCGAUAAUUUUUUGUAGUGUUCAUAAUUUCUACUUUUGUUUUUGUUUCUUACAAAAGAGCUUUCUUAGGACAAGGCCUUAUGCUAAAAAAAGCAGAAGUACUGAAAAACGGCCUUAAGUGUUUAAGGAACUCAAUUGUUGUACUCAAUUGUUGUUGCGUGUACUGCAAAGAAAGCAAAGGGGUAUUUUAGUAAGUGCAGAUCUAAUCAAAUUCCCUAGAUCUGCUGUUGUAGCAAGUGUUGAAAUAUUACAAGUAUAAUAAAGGUCAACUAAUUGAUGAUCCCAAAGUCUUGUGAUGCAAAAAAGAAGAAACAUCCAAUAAAAUGUCAAGAUUUGAGGAUGCAUUGUCUGUAUUGAUGAACGUAAUGCUGAGGAAGAGCAUCAGCAUAUAUCAAGAAUUUUCAUUUGUGCUGUUGGACUUGGUUUCGGUACUGAAUUCAAUGUUUCGAUUUUCGGGCAUGUUUUUGCAGAGAUCGAACGCAGUUCCCAGUCGUCACUCGCCUAUGUCAUCGAUGUUUGCUCGCCAUGACUGGUAAAAGUUGUUGCUAAACAUGGUUAGAAUAAAAAUGGUGAUAGUCGAUCCCAAAUUUAUUAGGAACAAAAGUUUAAACGUUGUUUUGUUGUUGUGUUGUGUUGUGAUGACAUGAUGAAUGUUGUAAGUCUAGAUCUAAGUACUGUAUCAAGAAUCAUAUCAUGAUUGAUUGAAUAAUUUUGUG
rnacentral:lncRNA from 1 species